rnacentral:lncRNA from 1 species
UUUAGCUUUCUUUGGAAAUUACCUUAUUUUGAAAAUUUCCCAAUAUUAUAUCGUGAUCCUCGCCAAUUCUGAUCAAACACACCACCUCCAUAUUGAAAGAGCCACGUUAAACCAGGCUUCCAAGUCUCAAUAAAUACCCCAAAUUUGCCCUCCCAUUGUGGGAGGUGCUGAGGCCCUGGGAAAAAUAAACUCAGCCUUGUCUUAUCAAUAGUCUUGGUGAUUUUGGGGAGAUGGCAUUCGAUAGAAAGAGAAGACAUUUGGAGGCAACUGUGUAUGUGAGCUUGAGUUAUUCAGGAGGGUUUCUUCCUUGCUCAAGUUCAGAGGGAUGAUAGCAUAAAUAUUCUUUCUUUUUUCCUAUAUGGAAAAAUCUAGAGUUUUGGGGGCUGGAAGGAAUCCAGGAGAUGACCUAACGCCUUCCUUCCCGUAUGGAUGAGGUCACUGGGACUCACAGGGAACAAGAAGAAACUCUAUGUUCUGUUUUGCAGAAACUGAUGUUCCCGGUUUGCAGAUGUUGCUACCUUGCAGAGAAAUUAACACACUUGCCCCAAGACCCCUGCAAAUUGUUCCAGCUCCAAGCGUCCUAAAGCUACCUUAAGCUCAUUAGCAUCUUAAAUUCUCCUCCUCUGGGAGGGUCCCAGCCCCCAUUUCCAGAUCAGGGGGUGUACACAGUGGCAUGUUUACCUGCUACACAUGUGCCCUGAAAGAGCACAGUUGUUACAUGGCUGUUACAAAUAGACCUGUUUCCUCUGCUCUCUUGUGGAUGAAGUCUCCAGGGGCACUGAGCCCGGAGAGACACUGCGUUGGGUAACAUCCCAGGUGUUCUCCAUUGCUUGUGCAGGCAAUAAAGCUUUUCUUCACCCA